GACAGAGUCCGUCUAACAGAGCAACAUGACACAUUCUGGAUAUUUUAUAUGGAUUUUCAUCUCCUCAUGCGGGGUCUUGUUGGGAAAAGUUUUACUGUGACCUACAAUUCUGAUCAGGGAACCCAAGUUUCAACUACCUCCAACCAUGAGGUCCACUGCUACUACCAUGGGCAUGUUGUAGGAGUGGAGGACUCCUCUGCCAGCAUUGG